rnacentral:lncRNA from 1 species
UGGCUAGGAGUAGAGGGCUGACUCUGUCCUGGGUGAGACUUGGGAUCUGGUGCGCUCAAGUCGAGGCAGGGAGGACAUGAAUCCAGCAAGAGAAGGAGCAGCCUUUGUCAAGGCCUUGAGUCACAAAAGCUAGGCAAUGACACCCACUACACUCAGUGGUGCCCUGGGACCUCAAGAGUGAUGUCACUUCCAGGUGGAGGCAUGGACAGUCUGGUUUGGAGGUAAUGUUAGGCAUACUGGUCUUUGGGGCAUGGAGCACACAGGACUCAGAGAAAACUGGGAAGCCCUCGUGGCAAUUGUCAGGAAGGGAAGUCUGGAUAACUAACUAGCUUGUAAAGCAUAAAUAAAGGAUUUUACUCAUUACUGCCUCGAGUCCAAGACCCCUUCCCCUUCCCCUCUUUCCUUGUCCAUAUAGUGAUUCGUUCACAGUGCUUUCUGGCUCUGUAGAGGGUUAGGACUUGUGGUGUCCUGUAAUUCUCCAUAGUCAUGCAUACAGUUCUUGGCAGAUGUGCACACUGUAACACCUGUGCCCUACUGUCUCAGUCUGUCUGUGUGCAGAUGUGCACACUGUAACACCCGUGCCCUACUGUCUCAGUCUGUCUGUGUGCAGAUGUGCACACUGUAACACCCGUGCCCUACUGUCUCAGUCAGUCUGUGUGCAGAUGUGCACACUGUAACACCCGUGCCCUACUGUCUCAGUCUGUCUGUGUGCAGAUGUGCACACUGUAACACCCGUGCCCUACUGUCUCAGUCUGUCUGUGUGCAGAUGUGCACACUGUAACACCCGUGCCCUACUGUCUCAGUCUGUCUGUGUGCAGAUGUGCACACUGUAACACCCGUGCCCUACUGUCUCAGUCAGUCUGUGUGCAGAUGUGCACACUGUAACACCUGUGCUCUACUGUCUCUGUCUGUGUGCAGAUGUGCACACUGUAACACCUGUGCUCUACUGUCUCUGUCUGUGUGCAGAUGUGCACACUGUAACACCCGUGCUCUACUGUCUCAGUCUGUCUGUGUGCAGAUGUGCACACUGUAACACCCGUGCCCUACUGUCUCAGUCAGUCUGUGUGCAGAUGUGCACACUGUAACACCCGUGCUCUACUGUCUCAGUCUGUCUGUGUGCAGAUGUGCACACUGUAACACCCGUGCUCUACUGUCUCAGUCUGUCUGUGUGGCUGACUUCAAUAGAGGCCACCUGCAAAGUAGUACCUCAUACCUUUCUAGCAUCACAGAAAUCCUGGAGACAUACUGACCAUGAUGACCCAUGUGAAGUACAGUGAUGACCAGUAUUUUAGUUCUGUACUUUUCUUUUCUUCUCUAGUUUUUUUUUUUUCUUUUUUCUACCAGGCUGGCCUCAAACUCAGAGACCGAUCUGCCUGACUCCUGAGUGCUGGGAGUCGAGGCAUGUGCACCACCGUCUAGCUUUUUUUUUUUUUUUUUUUGACAAGAUUUCACACUGUAGGUGAGGUUGGCCUUGAAUUUGCUGAAGUUUCCCUUCCUCAGCUUCUCCAGUGCUGGGAUUGUUGGUGAGAGGAACCCUAAAUGGCCAAGUUCUAUUCAUUCUUAAAUUUCUUCAAAUUUCUCCUCCUAAAGCAAUGUCUGCCUUUCCCCCACCUUACUGUGUUUUGUGUUUCCAUUAGUUGCGCUUCAUUUCCUGCUGCUUACUGGAGGGCCCUUGUCCUGUUCCUCUGGUGAGACCAGUAUAUGCCUGUCCAGGUUGUAGGAAGUUUUGAAGAUGCUUUUCAGAGCUUCAGGGAGUCUGGUGCCCUCACAGCAAUCCAUCUGUGACUCCUUUGGGAUGUAGUCUCACUGUGGCCAUUUUACUCUGGUGAUGAACAGUGAUGUGGGAAUAAACCCUUUCAUUCCUAACUUGCUUUUUGGUCAUGGUGUUUCAUUGCAGCAAUAGAAACCCUAAGACUUGGGCUGGAGAGAUGACUUAGCAGUUAAGAGCAUUGACUGCUUUUCCAGAGGUCCCGAGUUCAAUCCCCAGCACUCACGUGGUGUCUUGCAACUAUCUAUAAUGGGAUCCAAUGCCCUCUUCUGGAGUGUCUAAGAUAGCAACAACAGUGUACUCAUAUAU